CAAGUACUCCCUCCGUCUGGAAUUACUUUUCAUCAAAAUGGAUGUGUCUAGAACUAAAAUACAUCUAGAUACAUCCAUUUCAAUGACAAGUAUUUUUGGACGGAGGGAGUACAAG
rfam:Triticum urartu cultivar G1812 contig532066, whole genome shotgun sequence.